ACUUAAAUUGAAGAGUUUGAUCAUGGCUCAGAUUGAACGCUGGCGGCAGGCCUAACACAUGCAAGUCGAGCGGCAGCGGGAAAGUAGCCUGCUACUUUUGCCGGCGAGCGGCGGACGGGUGAGUAAUGCCUGGGGAUCUGCCCAGUCGAGGGGGAUAACUACUGGAAACGGUAGCUA
rnacentral:rRNA from 1 species